rnacentral:tRNA from 1 species
GCCGAGGUGGUGAAAUUGGUAGACACAAGGGACUUAAAAUCCCUCGGAAUUUUAUUCCAUGCGAGUUCGAUUCUCGCCCUCGGUA